rnacentral:lncRNA from 1 species
CCCUGACCUAUUUUUGAAGCUUUUUGGCAGUAAACUUGACAAGAUCUCUUUGUCAGCUCGAGCAAAAUAUGAAUGGAGCACGAAGGAAAGGCGACGCCGGUUUUGUUUAAUUACUAGUUCCCUUUGGUGCGGAAGAUUGUGAAAUCAGCCAAAGGCAUGAGGAAGUAACUGCCAAAUUUUGCUGCAAUGACUGCAAUUAAGCACUUCCUGUAGUUGUUCUGGCAAUAACCGCAACGCGGAAAGACAGCAGAGAUGAAAUGGAGAUCCAUAAUAUUAAUACGGGAAGCGUACACUGUGGGUACCGGGUGUGAGAGAAGAUGAGCUCUCCGCGUCGCUAGGGGGCGCUCUACGGCCAAACACGCCUCAGUGUUUAAACACGCCCUUCCUAUGCGACGCGCUGGCUAUGCUUAAGACAAGAUGGCGACCGUGAGUUCCGCGUUGUGGCUCCGCAAAGCGCUGAGGCCGUCGCUGUGCGCGCGCCUGGGCCACGCGGCCAAAGCGGUGGGAGCAACAGCUGGAGGCCAGAGAGAGAGUUCAUCCUUUACAGUGAGUAUUAUUCACUCUGUGUGUGUGCUUGUGCGAGAGAGAGAACAUCUGGUACGUCCAUUCACCCUGAGGCCAGCGGGUGGCGUAGUGUUUAGCACUGUCACCUUGCAAUGGAGGACCCAGGUUCAAAUCUCACUUCCUGCUCCAGUACCCUUCCUUCGGCAGGGUGCUUACCUUGAAUUGGUCCAGGAAAAAUUACCCUGCUCUAAGUGGAUAAGUCAGUGUAUUGCCUCACAUUAUUGCUGACUGGUAAAUCCAGCUAGGGAACUGUACAGUCCACGUCACUUUGACCUGUGUGCUGGUUGACCGUGGCCCUCGGCGGUUUAUUUUCUUCAGUUGUACGUCGGUCAGGACGUUUUUCUUUUUCUCUCCACUGUCGCCAGCCGGCAGCCAUCGAAAAGGAAAUCUUUUGAUGACAAUAUAUUAAAGUUUAUAAUCACACUUAUUUGCUUAGCUUUGUCUUUUAACACUUAUUUUAUUCUUUUUGGUUCUUUCUACUGUGUUAAUGUAUAUUGAUUUGUGCAAAUAUGUGUUGUACGUGCUGGUUCUCUAAGCAUACGUUGUAUUAAUGAAGUGCAGCUACAGUAACGUAAUGAAAUAAAAGAUCUCCACCAGGUAAUCGAGGCCUUGAU